rnacentral:rRNA from 1 species
AAUGAACGCUGGCGGCAUGCCUAACACAUGCAAGUCGAACGAGACCUCCGGGACUAGUCGCGCAUGGGGGUGUAACGCGUGGGAACCUUCCUUUAUGUUUGGAAUAACUCUGAGAAAUUUGAGCUAACACCGGAUGAUGUCCUCUGACCAAAGAUUUAUCGCCCUUAGAUGGGCCCGCGUUGGAUUAGCUAGUUGGGGGGGUAAUUGCCUACCAAGGCGACGAUCCAUAGCUGGUAUCAGAGGGUGAUCAGCCACACUGGGACGGAGACACGGCCGAGACUCUGAGGGUGGGACGCGGUCGGGAAUCUUACGCGAGGGGGGAAUGGGGAAUAUUGCAAAAUGGGGUAAAGCAUGAAGCAGCAAUGCCGGGUGAGUGAUGAAGGCCGUAGGGUUGUAAAGCUCUUUUACCCGAGAUGAUAAUGACGGUAUCGGGAGAAUAAGCUCCGGCUAACUCCGUG